AUUGAACGCUGGCGGCAUGCUUUACACAUGCAAGUCGAACGGUAACAGGCCGCAAGGUGCUGACGAGUGGCGAACGGGUGAGUAAUGCAUCGGAACGUGCCCAGUCGUGGGGGAUAACGCAGCGAAAGCUGCGCUAAUACCGCAUACGAUCUCUGGAUGAAAGCGGGGGACCGAAAGGCCUCGCGCGAUUGGAGCGGCCGAUGUCAGAUUAGGUAGUUGGUGGGGUAAAGGCCCACCAAGCCAACGAUCUGUAGCUGGUCUGAGAGGACGACCAGCCACACUGGGACUGGGAAACGGCCCAGACUCCUACGGGAGGCAGCAGUGGGGAAUUUUGGACAAUGGGCGCAAGCCUGAUCCAGCAAUGCCGCGUGCAGGAAGAAGGCCUUCGGGUUGUAAACUGCUUUUGUACGGAACGAAACGGUCCGGGUUAAUACCCUGGGCUAAUGACGGUACCGUAAGAAUAAGCACCGGCUAACUACGUGCCAGCAGCCGCGGUAAUAC
rnacentral:rRNA from 1 species